GCGCUGGUGGUGUGAAGGCGUAGAGCAUUCCCGCCCGGUCAGAGGGAGGUGCGGGUUCGAGUCCCGCCUGGCGCU
rfam:Heligmosomoides polygyrus genome assembly, scaffold: HPBE_scaffold0001522